rnacentral:sRNA from 1 species
GAUGGUCUUGAUCUCCUGACUUCAUGAUACGCCCACCUCAGCCUCCCAAAGUGCUGGGAUUACAGGCGUGAGCCACUGUGCCCAGCGGGAUGGCUUUCAUUUAGGAGCCUUGGUGGCUGGUUUUGGCUUAAGUCCUACCUUGUAUUUCAAACAAAGAACUCCUUUCCCAUGCCUUACCCAUAUGUGUUUGUGAUUUUGCUUCCUAAUAGUCGUAUUGGCUGCUAUGUGACCAUCUUCCAAAAUAUUUCCAACUUGAGGGAUGUCUUCUACCGGGAAAUGAGCAAGCUGAACCACAAUCUCUACGAGGUGAUGAGCAAACUGGAGAAGCAACAUUCCAAUAAAGUCUUUGUGGUGAAGGGACUGUCAAGCAGCAGCAGGCGCUCUUUAGUCAUUUCUCCCCCAGUUCGAACAGCUACGGUCUCCAGUCCUCUUACCUCACCUACUAGUCCCUCUACACUUUCCUUGAAGAGUGAGAGUGAAUCUAUGUCAGCAACUGAAGAUCUGGCACCUG